rnacentral:rRNA from 1 species
UGCGUAGGCGGGUCUUUAAGUCAGGGGUGAAAUCCUGGAGCUCAACUCCAGAACUGCCUUUGAUACUGAAGAUCUUGAGUUCGGGAGAGGUGAGUGGAACUGCGAGUGUAGAGGUGAAAUUCGUAGAUAUUCGCAAGAACACCAGUGGCGAAGGCGGCUCACUAGCCCGAUACUGACGCUGAGGCACGAAAGCUGGGGAGCAAACA